GGCCUUGUAGUCAAGAUAUGAUAUUGAAUUGCAAAUUCAAAGGGGAUUUUCUAUUAUCCAAGGCUU
rnacentral:tRNA from 1 species